rnacentral:rRNA from 1 species
GACGAACGCUGGCGGCGUGCUUAACACAUGCAAGUCGAACGAAGAGCGAUGGAAGCUUGCUUCUAUCAAUCUUAGUGGCGAACGGGUGAGUAACGCGUAAUCAACCUGCCCUUCAGAGGGGGACAACAGUUGGAAACGACUGCUAAUACCGCAUACGAUCUAAUCUCGGCAUCGAGGAAAGAUGAAAGGUGGCCUCUAUUUAUAAGCUAUCACUGAAGGAGGGGAUUGCGUCUGAUUAGCUAGUUGGAGGGGUAACGGCCCACCAAGGCGAUGAUCAGUAGCCGGUCUGAGAGGAUGAACGGCCACAUUGGGACUGAGACACGGCCCAGACUCCUACGGGAGGCAGCAGUGGGGAAUCUUCCGCAAUGGACGAAAGUCUGACGGAGCAACGCCGCGUGAGUGAUGACGGCCUUCGGGUUGUAAAGCUCUGUUAAUCGGGACGAAAGGCCUUCUUGCGAACAGUUAGAAGGAUUGACGGUACCGGAAUAGAAAGCCACGGCUAACUACGC